rnacentral:tRNA from 1 species
UAAGACCCGUAAGAUACUAACCUACAUCUUCUGAAUGCAACCCAGAUGCUUUAAUUAAGCUAGGGCCUUG